CUCGUAGGCGGUUGCGUAAGUCGGAUGUGAAAACUCAGAGCUCAACUCUGAGAUGCCAUCCGAUACUGCGCUGACUUGAAUCCAGUAGGGGAGUGUGGAAUUCCUGGUGUAGCGGUGAAAUGCGCAGAUAUCAGGAGGAACACCGAUGGCGAAGGCAGCACUCUGGGCUGGUAUUGACGCUGAGGAGCGAAAGCGUGGGUAGCAAACA
rnacentral:rRNA from 1 species